rnacentral:misc_RNA from 1 species
UCCGAGUUGACCCCGGCAGUCUCCCAUGAGUCCCCACCAUUACGUGCUGGCAACAUGGAACGAGGGUUGCGCUCGUUGCGGGACUUAACCCAACAUCUCACGACACGAGCUGACGACAGCCAUGCACCACCUGCACACAGGCCACAAGGGAACACCUAUCUCUAGGCGCGUCCUGUACAUGUCAAGUCCUGGUAAGGUUCUGCGCGUCGCGUCGAAUUAAACCACAUGCUCCGCUGCUUGUGCGGGUCCCCGUCAAUUCCUUUGAGUUUUAGCCUUGCGGCCGUACUCCCCAGGCGGGGCACUUAAUGCGUUAGCGCCGGCACGGGAGGAGUCGACACCUCCCACACCUAGUGCCCAUCGUUUACGGCGUGGACUAC